rnacentral:lncRNA from 1 species
UACCAUUUGCAGUGUCCCUCCACCACCUCCACCACCUCCAUCAUUUCCAAUUGUGUCUGGAGUUUCUUCUUUGUUAUCAGUGAGUGCUCCACCAUCACCAGAUCUUCCUUCUUCACUUGAGCUACCUUCUUUACUUGGUGCUUCGGCUUCGCCUCCCCCACCACCUCUUAUGCAAGUUUCUCCUCCUUCACCAUCAUCACCAUCCUUACAGAGUGAUUCACUUCCACCUACCUCAACUCCUUCCCAAAAUGCACCUCCUCCACCUUUGCCUCCACUAAGUCCACCUCCAUGUCCACUGCCACCUCCACCUCCACCUCCACCUCCACCCCCAUAUGUUUCAAGAAAUUCUCCAACGUCAUUUCUGCCACCACCUCCGCCACCUCCACCUCCACCCCCAUCUGUUUCAAGAAAUUCUCCGACGUCAUUUCUGCUUCCACCUCCACCUCCACCUCCACCAAGAAAUGAUCCGACCCCAAUUCAACCUCUAUCUGCACUUCCACCUCCACCCCUACCCCCACCUGUUUCAAGAAAUUCUCCGACAUUAGUUCUGCCUCCACCUCCUCCACCCCUACCUCCUUCAAGAAAUUCUCCAGCACCAACUCCCCCUCCCCCACCCCUUUCGUACAGUAUUCCACCUGCGCCAAAUCCACCUUCAAUUCUUUGUCCUCGUCCUCUUUCCACCCUAUCUUCUUUAUCUAGAGCACCACCACCGCCUCCACCACCUCCUCCCCCACCUCCUUUGCAUGUUGCAUGUUUACCAUCUCCUCCAUUGUCGGCAACUCCACCCCCUCCUCCUCCUCCUCCUCCUCCUCCACUACCAGGAGCUCCACCUCCACCUCCAGUUCCUCCUCCUCCCCCUUGUGCUGGCCCACCUGGUCCACCAACUCCUCCCCCUCCUCCUUGUGGUGCCCCUCCAGAUCCUCCACCCCCUCCGCCUCCCCCCGGUGGCGGUCCUCCACCUUCUCCGCCUCCCCCGGGUGGCGGUCCUCCACCACCUCCGCCUCCUCCCGGCAGAGCACCACCUCCUCCACCCCCACCUGGAGGUGGCACACUUGGUCCACCACCUUCAGGAGGUCGAGCACCAGCCACCUCCAUCAUUUCCAAUUGUGUCUGGAGUUUCUUCUUUGUUAUCAGUGAGUGCUCCACCAUCACCAGAUCUUCCUUCUUCACUUGAGCUACCUUCUUUACUUGGUGCUUCGGCUUCGCCUCCCCCACCACCUCUUAUGCAAGUUUCUCCUCCUUCACCAUCAUCACCAUCCUUACAGAGUGAUUCACUUCCACCUACCUCAACUCCUUCCCAAAAUGCACCUCCUCCACCUUUGCCUCCACUAAGUCCAC